UUUUAAAACUUUGAGCUUUCCGUGAAAUAAAUACACUUUAAAGCUAUUUUACAAAAAACAUAUCAACAGACAUUUGAGCAAAUGGUAUUUGUUUUGAGCAAAUAAAUCCUACGUCAAAGAUUUUUGGGGGAACGUGCAAAGUCAUUUACCCAGAGCUCUCCCAUAGGUACCCGAUAUAUAUAUACUCAUUACUUUGCACGAGACCUAACAAUGGAAGAUAGAGAAGAAACUUGUGUUUUAUUUGGUGCUUAUUUCAUGAGGGAAUCGCAAAGGGUUUCCAACAGAGUCCGUUGGCAUUCUGUCCACCUCCGACCGAUCUUCACCUCAGAACCCUCCCCAAAAAGUAGAACAGAAAAAGGGGAAGGAAGAAAGAUUCUUCGUCAAGUCUCUCUCGUGAUCUCUUGGAGGUGGGCAGAUUGCCAACUGAGCUCUGUUAGGUUCUCUCUGCGAAACCCUUCGUGAAUCAUUUCUUCAUCUCAUAUUAGCUGUUCUCUUCAAUCUUUUUGAUAAAGUGAAAACAAGAGGAGACGACAAGACGUAUAUUUAUACUUCCAUCGGGGUCGGGGUUCGAUCUUCUCUUCUCCGCUCUUCUGCUGUUUUGCAGGGCUUAAAUUUAGCCGUCGACACGUCUUGUGCAUGGGGUUGCCUGGAUAAGAGAAGAAGAAGAUGACUUCAAGAAGUGACGACCGUCGCUCUACGAUCGGUCCUUCGACCGGUCCGCUCGGAACCCUAGUUCAUCCUGCCCCAUCUCUUCAUCGUUCGUGGCAAAACCAGAGUUAAAAUCCCCGGUUUCUUUCCCAGCAAGACUAUUAUGUAUAUAAUCAUAGGUUAUUUUUCCAUAUCUUUUUUGUGAUCACAUCUUCCAAGUUCGUAUCGAGGGUUAUCCCAGUUUUUCUUUUAGCAGAAGAAAGUUAAAAAGUAAGAAAAAAGAAGAAGAAGAAAAUCGGAAGGGUUGGCUAGCUAGAUAUGAUUUUUGAUAAAGAUUGUAAAAUAAAAAAGUGAGAUGAAAUAGUAUUUCCAUAGAUUUUUUUUUU